AAGGAGCCUCAUAUGGUCCCACAUCCCUUACAUUUUAACACCUCUGAGGUGUUAAAAUGUAAGGGAUGUGGGACCAUAUGAGGCUCCUU